GUGCUCACUUUGGCAGUACAUAAACUAAAAUUGAAAUAAUACAAGGAGGAUUAGCAUGGCCCCUGCACAAGAAGGACACACAAAUUCAUAAAGUGUUCCAUAUUUUU